rnacentral:lncRNA from 1 species
UUGUGGUAUUUCUAGAUCCUUACCAAGGUUGUGAUGGUAUAUGCCUUCUCUCAAAGUAUGUAGUAUUUGUCGUGUGAAGCACAGUGACCUUGCUCUCUCUCUCACCCUACUUUAAUAAGGCUUUUGAUAUCUGGAGCUCAUAGGUGGGAGAUAAAGUAUACAUACUUACAAGGCAUUUAUUGCAUAGUCAAACCAUGGAUCCAGAGAAACAAGUCAAUAAGUCAAAUCAAGAUGUGCAUGUGUGGCGAAUGAAUGGUGUAUGGUGAUGAUGGUGAUAAUAAUGGUGAAAGUCUAAUGCUACUUUUGCUCUUUUGAGGGGAUACAUACCUUUCUUGCUCUUUUGAAACUUUUUGAGGAGAAUGAGAUGCUCUACAUUUUAUUUUUCUUUCCUCUCAGGUGGGUAUCUUGUACCCCUAAUUCUACUAUCGGACACUUGUCCAUUUUUACCUCUCGUCUCACUUUUUCUUUUCUAUCGAGGUUUCGGGCACUUGCCUCUUUUUAUUUCCUCGUAUCCUUUCUUUUCUUUUAGAGCACUCAUCUCCUGAAAUUAUAUAGCAAGUGGUAGUAACCAAGAUAACUUGAGCAUUUAUUUUACAAGGGAAAAAUAGAAAUGUUUUUGGUUAUUCUCUCCCGGAUUAGGAGU